AUACGUAGGGGGCGAGCAUUAUCCGGAUUUAUUGGGCAUAAAGGGCGCGUAGGCGGUGAUUUAAGUCAGAUGUUAAAGGCUGUAGCUCAACUAUAGCAUGCAUUUGAAACUGAAUCACUUGAGAUCAGGAGAGGGAAGCGGAACUCACAGUGUAGCGGUGAAAUGCGUAGAUAUUGUGAGGAACACCAGUUGCGAAGGCGGCUUCCUGGACUGAAUCUGACGCUGAGGCGCGAAAGCGUGGGGAGCAAACAGGAUUAGAAACCCCGGUAGUCC
rnacentral:rRNA from 1 species